AUGUGAGGGCUUCUGGCUGUGACAUCUGUCACCCCACUGAUCACCAGGGUUGAUUCGGCUGAUCUGGCCAGCUGGGCGGGUGUCCUCUUCCUCCCUGUU
rnacentral:snRNA from 1 species